rnacentral:lncRNA from 10 species
UUUUACUCUUACAGGUACGGCUUGAAGGAAACUUCUGGAGGGUGGGGUGGUGUUGAAGAGAAGGCACAAUUGUCACCAUUUUGUUCAACAUGGGCGUUUUCUUUGUGCAUUGAUUUGCAUUUUUAAAGGAACUCCUCCUCAAAACAGAAGAAGCCUAUAGGAUUUUAACCUGGAAACUACUCAGGGAAUCUGGAAUAUUCCUUCCAGGGAUAUCUGCAGCUGAAACCUGGCAGUAAUUUAAACAAAACCAGACAACUCUUGGGGUAUGGUUGGAGCCUGAGGUCUA